rnacentral:rRNA from 1 species
GACGAACGCUGGCGGCGUGCUUAACACAUGCAAGUCGAGCGGAGCGGCGAACGGGUGAGUAACGCGUGAGUAACUGCCCCCCUCUCUGGGAUAACAGUUGGAAACGGCUGCUAAUACCGGAUAGUGGGGGAUGACUCGCGUCCUAUCGGCUUGUGGGUGGGGUAGUGGCCUACCAAGGCGACUACGGGUAGCCGGCCUGAGUGGGCGACCGGCCACAUGGGGCUUGGAUGCGGCCCAAACUCCCACGGGAGGCAGCAGCGGGGAAGAUUGCACGAUGGGGGAAACCCUGAGGCAGCAACGCGCGGGCGGGAUGACGGCCUUCGGGUUGUAACCCGCUUUCAGCCAUGACGCGGUACCGGAAUAGAAAGCCACGGCUAACUACGUGCCAGCAGCCGCGGUAAUAC